UACGUAGGGUGCGAGCGUUAAUCGGAAUUACUGGGCGUAAAGCGUGCGCAGGCGGUUCGCCAAGUCAGGUGUGAAAUCCCCGGGCUUAACCUGGGAAUUGCGCUUGAAACUAGCGGGCUUGAGUGUGGCAGAGGGGGGUGGAAUUCCACGUGUAGCAGUGAAAUGCGUGGAGAUGUGGAGGAACACCGAUGGCGAAGGCAGCCUCCUGGGCCAACACUGACGCUCAUGCACGAAAGCGUGGGGAGCAAACAGG
rnacentral:rRNA from 1 species